AAUGCAAACGAAAUUAGGGGGGGAAAAAAGGAAGACACAAGAAAAUUUUGUGAUCAACCUUAAUCACAACAAAUUGGACAACGAAUUAGCCCAUUCUCAUUGCAAUCUGGACAUCGUUGAAAACCAUAUUCAUCUUCUUCAAGUUCUUCUUCAUCUUCGUUAUCUUCUUCAUAAUCUGCUCCGUAAUAGAUUUUACAGCUUCCUGAACAUGUCUCACAAGGUACAAAUCUAAUAUCUCCACAGGCCUCACAAUUACAACCUCCAAUGACACCACCAUCCUCAAUUCUUUCACAGUUUUCUACAAAUUUCUCGAGUUUUCCAUCCUCGUUCAUUCGACGUAUUUCAUCAGCUCCACCAAUGUAUUUUCCCCCCAUAAAUAUCCUAGGCAAUCCUCCUCCACUGUAUUCAUUUCCCAGUAAUUCUUUCAGCUCUUCCUUGAACCCUGAAUGCAUCGAUACAUCUCUUUCGUCGAUUUUGACACCUAAUCCCUUCAGAAUCACUCGAACAUGGCCACAAUCCUCAUAUGUUUUCCUCACACCUCUCAGGCUAGUGAAAUAAACAACAAGUUUAUCUUUACUUACUUCGUACUCUGUUACUUUCUUCACAUCUGUUAUCUCCAAUGGAUCUUCCUCGUCGGCCACCGGCUUCUGAUUUUCAGUAAUCAACGGUUUAAGGUGAAAUGGGUUUGCAGGUGGGAGAUCUUCUAAUGCUUUUCUGAAUGUAGAAAUCACUUCAGAAUCAAACUCGGACACGAUUGAUGUGUCGUUUGAACUUGAGUUCGUUUCAUCUUCAGCUACCUCCUCCCACAAUGGCUUUGGGGAACCUUCGAUAUGAUCUUUAACUCUGGGCGUAGGAAGAUCAUACUGAGAUGAAACUGGAUUUGGAGAAACAUGGAAUGAAAAACUGCGAACAUGAUGAGCAGGCUUAAGAGGACUAGAAUCUUCAAGACCUUCCAUUAAUUCCCAAGUAUUGAUAGUUUCUGGCUCACCAGGUGGAGUUCUAACAGGGGUUUUCGGAACCACUUUGGGGAUUUUCUCAUUGAUCAUUUCUGACCAUGUUUUUGCUUCAAUCAAACCCAUAGCAAACUCUUCUUUACAACUCUUCACUUCAUCGAAAUCACAAAGAUCAAAAGAAGAUGUAUCUCCGUCUUUGAUUGAUUGACUCUGGUUCAUCGGAUCAAGCUUCAGAGAUCCUAAAGUAGAUGAAGUCAGAGCCACCCUAUGGUAGCCAUCGUCGUGCAUUGAAUAGCUCCGGCGCACCGGUGAACAGGGGGCCCUGCAUUUGUGACACACCUUCGGCUUCGAAGUUGCACAACCCAUUAUUAUAAACCAGAGCAGACGGAAGAAAACGUUAUACUUUAUCCCCCAAAGUGUGGUAUUAUUUUUUUCGUGUGUG
rnacentral:misc_RNA from 1 species